AACGAACGCUGGCGGCAUGCCUAACACAUGCAAAUCGAACGAGACCUUCGGGUCUAGUGGCGCACGGGUGCGUAACGCGUGGGAACCUGCCCUUAGGUUCGGAAUAACUCCCCGAAAGGGGUGCUAAUACCGGAUAAUGUCUUCGGACCAAAGAUUUAUCGCCUUUGGAUGGGCCCGCGUUGGAUUAGCUAGUUGGUAGGGUAAAAGCCUACCAAGGCGACGAUCCAUAGCUGGUCUGAGAGGAUGAUCAGCCACACUGGGACUGAGACACGGCCCAGACUCCUACGGGAGGCAGCAGUGGGGAAUAUUGGACAAUGGGCGAAAGCCUGAUCCAGCAAUGCCGCGUGAGUGAUGAAGGCCCUAGGGUUGUAAAGCUCUUUUACCCGGGAUGAUAAUGACAGUACCGGGAGAAUAAGCUCCGGCUAACUCCGUG
rnacentral:rRNA from 1 species